rfam:Homo sapiens chromosome 7, GRCh38 reference primary assembly.
GCUAGGUGUGGUGGUGCACGCCUGUGGUCCCAGCUACUCGGGAGGCUGAGGUGGGAGAAUCACUUGAGCCUAGGAGUUCGAAGCUGCAGUGAGCCAAGAUCAUGCCACUGCACUCCAGCCUGGGCAACAGAGUGAGACCCUGUCUCAA